GCUCUUUCCUGCGCUCUCACUGUGGAGAUCUUGCCGUAAAGAAACGUCCGUUCUCUCCGGGCUUUACCCCCAGAGAAAUGGCACUUGGAUCUGGUGGCAUGAAGGCUGAGAGGCACAGAGCGACUUCUCUUCACCCAGUAUUCACACCUCAGGACCGAUGUCAGCGAAUAUAGAUUAAUCACGUGCUGACAGAGGUCGUUGAUCAACUGCCCGUGUCGGCGCAGAGCUUGACUGUUCACAUCUGUCCGCGAGGAGCUCACAAAAUGGAGCCACGCACAUGUCUGGCUGCUUCGUUUAGAGACAGGAGGCAAGGAUUAGGAGAAGAAGCGGAGUAGUAUUAUUAAUCAUGUGACCAACUGUUUGGAAUCUUAACAGAAGGAAGUCUAAACACACUGCUUCUACUAUGCAGCGCAAAAAGGAUAAAUUAUAUUAUAAAUGUCAGCGCCUGGUCGUGUACUGAGGGAAAAGAAAUGCAUUUCUUAACGAAAAGCUUGCGGCUUCAGACACUUGCAGGUGUUUGCUAAUGACAACAUUUGG